AUUGAACGCUGGCGGCAGGCCUAACACAUGCAAGUCGAGCGGCAGCGGGAAAGUAGCUUGCUACUUUUGCCGGCGAGCGGCGGACGGGUGAGUAAUGCCUGGGGAUCUGCCCAGUCGAGGGGGAUAACUACUGGAAACGGUAGCUAAUACCGCAUACACCCUACGGGGGAAAGCAGGGGACCUUCGGGCCUUGCGCGAUUGGAUGAACCCAGGUGGGAUUAGCUAGUUGGUGAGGUAAUGGCUCACCAAGGCGACGAUCCCUAGCUGGUCUGAGAGGAUGAUCAGCCACACUGGAACUGAGACACGGUCCAGACUCCUACGGGAGGCAGCAGUGGGGAAUAUUGCACAAUGGGGGAAACCCUGAUGCAGCCAUGCCGCGUGUGUGAAGAAGGCCUUCGGGUUGUAAGGCACUUUCAGCGAGGAGGAAAGGUCAGUAGCUAAUAUCUGCUGGCUGUGACGUUACUCGCAGAAGAAGCACCGGCUAACUCCGUGCCAGCCGCCGCCGUAAGAC
rnacentral:rRNA from 1 species